rnacentral:misc_RNA from 1 species
UCCAGUUUAUAACUGGCAGUUUCCUUAUAGUUCCCGGCAUUACCCGCUGGCAAAUAAGGAUAGGGGUUGCGCUCGUUGCAGGACUUAACCUAACAUCUCACAACACGAGCUGACGACAGCCAUGCAACACCUGUAUGUGGUCCGGCCGAACCGAAGGAAUCCAUUUCUGAAUCCCGCGACCACUAUGUCAAGGAUUGGUAAGGUUUUUCGCGUAACAUCGAAUUAAACCGCAUGUUCCACCACUUGUGCAGGUCCCCGUCAAUUCCUUUGAGUUUUAAUCUUGCGAUCUUACUUCCCAGGCGGAAUGUUUAACGCGUUAGCUACGACACCGAGAUCUAAGACCCCGACGCCUAACAUUCAUCGUUUACAGCGUGGACUAC